rnacentral:rRNA from 1 species
UACAGAGGGGGCAAGCGUUGUUCGGAAUUACUGGGCGUAAAGGGCGCGUAGGCGGCCUGUUAAGUCGAACGUGAAAUCCCCGGGCUCAACCCGGGAACUGCGUCCGAUACUGGCAGGCUUGAAUUCGGGAGAGGGAUGUGGAAUUCCAGGUGUAGCGGUGAAAUGCGCAGAUAUCAGGAGGAACACCGGUGGCGAAGGCGGGUCUCUGGGCCGAUACUGACGCUGAGGAGCGAAAGCGUGGGGAGCGAACGGG